GGGGAAUAUUGGGCAAUGGGCGAAAGCCUGACCCAGCAACGCCGCGUGAAGGAAGAAGGUCUUCGGAUCGUAAACUUCUAUCCCCGGUGAAGAUAAUGACGGUAACCGGGAAGGAAGCCCCGGCUAACUACGUGCCAGCAGCCGCGGUAAUACGUAGGGGGCAAGCGUUGUCCGGAAUGAUUGGGCGUAAAGGGCGCGUAGGCGGCUCGGUAAGUCUGGAGUGAAAUUCCUGCUUUCAAGGUGGGAACUGCUUUGGAUACUGUCGGGCUUGAGUGCAGGAGAGGUAAGUGGAAUUCCCGGUGUAGCGGUGAAAUGCGUAGAGAUCGGGAGGAACACCAGUGGCGAAGGCGACUUACUGGACUGUAACUGACGCUGAGGCGCGAAAGUGUGGGGAGCAAAC
rnacentral:rRNA from 1 species